CUUGCUUCUCUUGAGAGCGGCGGACGGGUGAGUAAUGCCUAGGAAUCUGCCUGGUAGUGGGGGAUAACGUUCGGAAACGGACGCUAAUACCGCAUACGUCCUACGGGAGAAAGCAGGGGACCUUCGGGCCUUGCGCUAUCAGAUGAGCCUAGGUCGGAUUAGCUAGUUGGUGGGGUAAUGGCUCACCAAGGCUACGAUCCGUAACUGGUCUGAGAGGAUGAUCAGUCACACUGGAACUGAGACACGGUCCAGACUCCUACGGGAGGCAGCAGUGGGGAAUAUUGGACAAUGGGCGAAAGCCUGAUCCAGCCAUGCCGCGUGUGUGAAGAAGGUCUUCGGAUUGUAAAGCACUUUAAGUUGGGAGGAAGGGUUGUAGAUUAAUACUCUGCAAUUUUGACGUUACCGACAGAAUAAGCACCGGCUAACUCUGUGCCAGCAGCCGCGGUAAUACAGAGGGUGCAAGCGUUAAUCGGAAUUACUGGGCGUAAAGCGCGCGUAGGUGGUUUGUUAAGUUGGAUGUGAAAUCCCCGGGCUCAACCUGGGAACUGCAUUCAAAACUGACUGACUAGAGUAUGGUAGAGGGUGGUGGAAUUUCCUGUGUAGCGGUGAAAUGCGUAGAUAUAGGAA
rnacentral:rRNA from 1 species